CUUAGAAGCAGCCAUCAUUUAAAGAGUGCGUAAUAGCUCACUAGUCGAGUGACACUGCGCCGAAAAUGUACCGGGGCUAAACAUAUUACCGAAGCUGUGGAUUGUCCUUUGGACAAUGGUAGGAGAGCGUUCUAAGGGCGUUGAAGCAUGAUCGUAAGGACAUGUGGAGCGCUUAGAAGUGAGAAUGCCGGUGUGAGUAGCGAAAGACGGGUGAGAAUCCCGUCCACCGAUUGACUAAGGUUUCCAGAGGAAGGCUCGUCCGCUCUGGGUUAGUCGGGUCCUAAGCUGAGGCCGACAGGCGUAGGCGAUGGAUAACAGGUUGAUAUUCCUGUACCACCUAUAAUCGUUUUAAUCGAUGGGGGGACGCAGUAGGAUAGGCGAAGCGUGCGAUUGGAUUGCACGUCUAAGCAGUAAGGCUGAGUAUUAGGCAAAUCCGGUACUCGUUAAGGCUGAGC
rnacentral:rRNA from 1 species